CUCACAUCCCAGCCUUUUGGCUAAAAUCAAGUAUAAUAUCUGAUCUUGUCAGUUUUAAUAUCUUGUAUGUCCUUUAUCUUAGGAUGCCAUAUUAAAAGGGAGUUUUAGAAGGAGGGGACAGAAUAGGGGCUUACUCCAUCCACAUCACACAUUGAUCUCAUACUGUAGUAUUUUCAGAAAUCAUGUUCUCCUA